rnacentral:lncRNA from 1 species
AUUGCCAGGAACCAUGCCACACCAUACCAGUCAGUGAGCCAGGCUGGUUCUUCUUAUCACAAAAGAUCAAAUGCCCAGGAAUAUGAGUCAUCUGAAGAUUCCUGCUAAUGAGCAGAGCCCUGCACGAGGGUUGACAAGACUGAAGCCCAGAGUUCUUUGUCCAUGAAUGUUGGACAAGAAUGAGCAGUGCCUGCUUCUCUUAACUUCGAAUCUGCUUUAGCAGAAAGAGCUUAAUGGAAAAGCAUGCCCUGCACUUCUGUUUUCCAUGAGGAGCCAGAAGUCAUCAGCAAAGCUGCAGCCCAAGAUGAGAGAAGCCAUUCGCCUCCUGGGGCCUCCAUGGAGUGAAUGCCUUUAAGAUGACAAGAGCUGGGAUGUAGGAGGAAGGUCAUUUUGUUAUCAGUGGAUGCCUCACCUUAGAAAAGUCCCGUAAAACUGAGGAAGAUUGUGGGAGGUAUCCUUGGGGGUCAUCUAGACCAGCACUCCAGCCUGCCCCAAAUCUACAGAUCAAAAAAGCAAAGUCCAGAGAAGUAACGUCUCAAGGUCACAUAAGUCAGUCCCUAUCAACAACAGCACUAAAAUCAAGGCUUCCUAAAACCAGUCGGAUCAUUGUUCCAUUAUAGCAUAUGGUAAUUCUUGUUAGAUGGAAAACAGAAAUAUUUAGAAAGUCCUAGGAGGGUCUUAUUUCUUGAAUGGAAAGUGAAGAUUUGACAUUCUUUAAGACUGCUGGUCAACUCCAGACAAGCUGUAUUAAAUAAUGAAGUGGGAACAGAGACUGUGAAAAAUCUAAGGGGAGGAAAAAAAAAGAAUCUUUAAAAAAAUGCUAUAUAGAUUUCAAAGCACUUAGAAUUACUAUUUUCCUUCCAUAUCUUUGGCUCCUUCUUCUAUUCUGGGUCCUAGUCAAAUGUUAGUUUUACUGGAGUGUUCUAUCGAGGCCAAAUUAACACCCAAACUGGAAUUAAUACUCACCUUUGUUCGGCAAAUUCAGACUCCCAGACGUCACAGAGGUGCUGAACACAUUUUAACACUCAGGGACAUUUACACCAGAGAAAUGCAUCAAUUUACAAAAAAGUAUGAGCCUCAAACGUGUACACCCAAUCCAUAUUGGCGGCCAGAAAGCAGUUUCUCUCCACCCGCCUCCUCUUCCUCCACUCCCUCCAUCCUGCUGGACCUCCCGUGCACUGGAUUACCCGGCCCACUCUGGGACUGUUGCAGCACGAGCAACUUUGGUGCCAUGCUCUUAAUUCCUCAAACGCCGUUACCUCUCUUUAUGCUUAGCCCCAAGGUGGGAAGAAGGAAAUAAAUCUUGUUCCUUGUGGGAU